AGCGAACGCUGGCGGCAGGCCUAACACAUGCAAGUCGAACGAACCUUUCGGGGUUAGUGGCGGACGGGUGAGUAACACGUGGGAACGUGCCUUUAGGUUCGGAAUAACUCAGGGAAACUUGUGCUAAUACCGAAUGUGCUCUUCGGGGGACAGAUUAAUCGCCUUUAGAGCGGCCCGCGUCUGAUUAGCUAGUUGGUUGAGGUAAUGGCUUACCAAGGCGACAUUCAGUAGCUGGUCUGAGAGGAUGAUCAGCCACAUUGGGACUGAGACACGGCCCAAACUACUGCGGGAGGCAGCAGUGGGGAAUCUUGCGCAAUCGGCGAAAGCCUGACGCAGCCAUGCCGCGUGAAUGAUGAAGGUCUUAGGAUUGUAAAAUUCUUUCACCGGGGACGAUAAUGACGGUACCCGGAGAAGAAGCCCCGGCUAACUUCGUG
rnacentral:rRNA from 1 species